ACAUAUGUCCAUUGCAUCUGCAUACAUUGCGUACAUGGCACAUACGCAACGUCGUACAUCUGUAUGGUCAUAGGGUGUUUCAUUAAUCGUCAAAACAUCCAAAAGCAUUCAAACAGACAUUAAUAUCAUUCAACAUAUGUACAUACAUAUAUUAAUGUGAUUGUUUAUUUUCACAUACACGAAAGCUUCCCCACACACGACAAGCCCAGACGAUUUGUUGGACCGGCAGAUAAGAACCGACUGCAGCCAACACUAGCGACGAACACAUCCACAAACACAGCCUCCAGCGCAGUAAAAAUUGAAGACGAUCCAAAACACGUGCAAGCAAAGCAGCUGUCAACGAUUAAGUGAACAUUCAAAAUGGCAAAGCUUGUCGUAACCUGCAAAAAUUCAAAAUACUUUUUGAACACACCUCGUAUGUCUCAGGAUUCUGCAUUCUUAAACUUAACAAUUUGUAUUUUGUAAUUCCGGGUAUUUAGGCGUUUAUAUGGACAUACGGUAAUUGCCAGCACGACUCGGCUAGUGAUCCUGAUCAAUAAUAUAUAUACUUUCUAAGGAAACGCUAUCUUCUUCCUGUUACAUACUAUUGAACGAUUUUAGUAUGCCCUCGUACUUUAUGAGUAUGGGAUAAGUUUACUUAGACUAACCAUAUUACCCGUAGAAAUCGAUAAUUCAUAGUCAUGUGUCAGAGAAUAAAAUAAAUAAAUAAAUUGAAUAUACUAACAUUCUUUUUCCUUAUUGUGCAUAAACAUUUCAGAUUCUGUUAGAUAAAUCCAAAUAUUCCGCAUGCAGAUUAUUUUAAAGCCGGCAUCGUUGGAGAUUGAGCUUAGUAUUUCGCAAUACAAAUUUUUAAGUUCGGGUCUAGUAAGAUAGUCAUCGUUUAGUACACAAAAUGAUCCAAGCGAAAUAAGUGCUUGCUUUCGAAUUUCUUGAUUAGUACAACGGCAGAAGAACAUCAAGCAAUGGAAUACAUCCUCACAUAUCGAAUCAGGCAG